UCGCUUACUGUUGGAAGUCAUCCUACAGGCUACAGUCACAGACAAAAUAAUUCUGUUCCUGAUUUUCAUUUGUUCAUUUCUAGUUUUUGUUGUUGUUGUUGUCAGUUUCAAGCCUUUGUACUGAUCAUUGUGGAUUUUUUUUCUUUCAUGAACAGAGAGGCACCAAAAUGUUGUCCACGGAAACUCGGUGACUGAAUGCAAGCAUCUUUCUUUCCUCCGCUGCGUUAUGUGUCUGUCGAGUGUCUUCAAAAGGGACACACUGACUGGUAUAGGGAACUGUUUGUAAUUCCCUUCAGCUUGAAUAAGGCCUCAUUACCAGCUGAAGAAAAAUAAAGCCAAGACUUUAUGCUUCCACUACUAUGUAUCACAAAAUAACACCAUACGAUGUGUUAUUUUGGUGGUAAGCGCUGUUGUUUUCAUGAAAUUGGAGUCAAAUGUAUUCUCAAUGCACAUGUCACAAAGAGCAACGGAAUUCACUUCAUGGUUACCUGUCCAAGAGA